UCGCCCCUUCUGUCUCUAUAUAUAUAUUUCUUUUAUUUUUGGAAAAUUUCACUUAUAAUAAUAAUAAUAAAGCCAUGCCCCGUAUUAAGUGUUUUAACUCCCGAUCACCGCUACCCUUUCCGAUUGAUCUGAGUCUCAUAACAUAUGUCAGGGCUCUGCCCGACUAAGUUGUUGGGAUUCUAUCUCGGGACUUCGGGACAAGGUUGAAUUAGGGGUACUAUACUUACCACGAGUGCAUUAUAUAUAUUUUUUUAGCCCAAAAGUUAUACCUAAAAUUUAUACCAGGAGAUUUUCUAGUUGAACCCUAAAAGUUACACAGUGGAUCCAUUCUCUUUUCUCACCGUUUUAUUCUCUUUUUGUGAUUUACCCAAAACUAUUAUUUAUUAUUCUAUUUUGUAAACAAAUCUCAUCAAAAGUCGUAUUCUAUUAUUUUAAUUACCCAAUAGGAAACCCCAGUUGAGACACCCAAGUGUUAUGGGAUACUGGAUCAGGAUACCGGAUCAGGAUACUGGAUCAGGAUACCGGACCAGGAUAUUGGUAACGUCCUGAGGCAGUAUCCUGACUAUUACUAACAAUUUGCUUGUAAACGUUGGCUACAAGGGACUAACGUUCAUAAGGACCAAGUCAUCCUGAAGACCCGCUCAAGUUGGUUAUGAUAAAGACGUUGAUGGCGAAAAAAUAGCUCUUGUAACGGUCAGCAUUGAAGAAUGGCGUGUUUUAUGGGAAUUAUUGAUGCUGGUCAAAGAUAUCAAUGAUAUAACGGUUAUGGAAGCUUAAAUCCCGGAGUUAUAGUUAGUAUGCGCGUGGAAAACGUGUUGGAACAGCCUUGCAACGUUCGGAAAGGAAAUAAUCUCAGUAUCCCGGAUUUUUAGCAUAAUAUCCCGGAUUUUUAGCAUAGUUAGUUAUUUCCUUUUACUAUAUAAAGGAAUGCACGGAUCAUAGGAACACACAACUUACACACACAAUCUCUCGUACACUCUUGCUCUCUUCCACCUGUAACCACUCACAAACACUCACACUUGUACUCGAAUCGCAUUGUAACACUUAGUUGAUCCGUAUCAUAUCCUGUACUAUAUCCUGUUAUUCAAGCAAUAAGAAGAACAAGGCAGCCGACGCUUGUCAGCUCCCGAGGUUUUAUCCCGGAGAUCUAGAUUGAUCAAGGGCUUUCCUCGUACAUCACGUGUCAACCUUUACAUUUUUGCUCAUUGUUUGAUUAUAGAUACAGCUCGAUAUCCUGAGCCGUAUCCUGUUAACUGUUUUUGCAAACUAACAAAACAACAUAUUUUUUCAUAAAGUAUUACUAGCACACUACCUCACAAAACUAAUUUGAUCACUUAAUUGCUUAGGUAAUUUUUGACCAAAACAAUUUGGCGCCCACCGUGGGGCAAGUGGUGCUAUUUCUACUAAAAGCUUUUGUAAAAUCGUUAAUCGGUUUUCUAUUUUCAAAACUGUUUUGGUCAAAAAUCACACAAGGAUAAUGCAACCAAACUCUUUGUAAACGGGGAAUGAUGCUUGGUAUGAUGAGCAAAGUAAAGGAUCACUAUAAUGAAAAUUGCACAAGUGACACAAGGAUUUAUACGAGGAAAAAGCCCUUGAUCAAUGAAUGAUCUCCGGCAUAAAAAACCUCGGGUGAUGGAAACUACCGAUCACCAAACU
rnacentral:lncRNA from 1 species